AGGUGCAAUCAUAUCAGUACUAAUGCACCGGAUCCUAUCAAAACUUCGCAGCUAAGCGGGCCCGGUGAAAGUAGUACUAAGAUGGGUGGUCCUCUUGGAAAAUCCGUGUGUUACAAAAA
rfam:Arabis alpina cultivar Pajares chromosome 4, whole genome shotgun sequence.